AUUGAACGCUGGCGGCAUGCUUUACACAUGCAAGUCGAACGGUAACAGGCCGCAAGGUGCUGACGAGUGGCGAACGGGUGAGUAAUGCAUCGGAACGUGCCCAGUCGUGGGGGAUAACGCAGCGAAAGCUGCGCUAAUACCGCAUACGAUCUCUGGAUGAAAGCGGGGGACCGAAAGGCCUCGCGCGAUUGGAGCGGCCGAUGUCAGAUUAGGUAGUUGGUGGGGUAAAGGCCCACCAAGCCAACGAUCUGUAGCUGGUCUGAGAGGACGACCAGCCACACUGGGACUGAGACACGGCCCAGACUCCUACGGGAGGCAGCAGUGGGGAAGUUUGGACAAUGGGCGCAAGCCUGAUCCAGCAAUGCCGCGUGCAGGAAGAAGGCCUUCGGGUUGUAAACUGCUUUUGUACGGAGCGAAAAGGCUCCCUCUAAUACAGGGGGCUCAUGACGGUACCGUAAGAAUAAGCACCGGCUAACUACGUGCCAGCCGCCGCGGUAACAC
rnacentral:rRNA from 1 species